rnacentral:rRNA from 1 species
GAUGAACGCUGGCGGCGUGCUUAAUACAUGCAAGUCGAACGAUACCGCAAGGUAUAGUGGCAAAAGGGCGAGUAACACAUGAGCAAUCUACCUUCGUGUGGGGAACAACCUUGGGAAACCGAGGCUAAAACCGCAUAAGACCACGGCCUGGCAUCAGGCUGUGAUCAAAUGGGGGGACCGCAAGGCCUCUAGCAUGAAGAUGAGCUCGUGUCCUAUCAGCUUGUUGGCGGGUAACGGCCCACCAAGGCUUUUGACGGGUAGCUGGACUGAGAGGUUGGUCAGCCGCAUUGGGACUGAGACACUGCCCAGACUCCUACGGGAGGCUG